rnacentral:rRNA from 1 species
AUACAUGCAAGUCGAGCGAAUGGAUUAAGAGCUUGCUCUUAUGAAGUUAGCGGCGGACGGGUGAGUAACACGUGGGUAACCUGCCCAUAAGACUGGGAUAACUCCGGGAAACCGGGGCUAAUACCGGAUAACAUUUUGAACCGCAUGGUUCGAAAUUGAAAGGCGGCUUCGGCUGUCACUUAUGGAUGGACCCGCGUCGCAUUAGCUAGUUGGUGAGGUAACGGCUCACCAAGGCAACGAUGCGUAGCCGACCUGAGAGGGUGAUCGGCCACACUGGGACUGAGACACGGCCCAGACUCCUACGGGAGGCAGCAGUAGGGAAUCUUCCGCAAUGGACGAAAGUCUGACGGAGCAACGCCGCGUGAGUGAUGAAGGCUUUCGGGUCGUAAAACUCUGUUGUUAGGGAAGAACAAGUGCUAGUUGAAUAAGCUGGCACCUUGACGGUACCUAACCAGAAAGCCACGGCUAACUACGUGCCAGCAGCCGCGGUAAUACGUAGGUGGCAAGCGUUAUCCGGAAUUAUUGGGCGUAAAGCGCGCGCAGGUGGUUUCUUAAGUCUGAUGUGAAAGCCCACGGCUCAACCGUGGAGGGUCAUUGGAAACUGGGAGACUUGAGUGCAGAAGAGGAAAGUGGAAUUCCAUGUGUAGCGGUGAAAUGCGUAGAGAUAUGGAGGAACACCAGUGGCGAAGGCGACUUUCUGGUCUGUAACUGACACUGAGGCGCGAAAGCGUGGGGAGCAAACAGGAUUAGUCCGGUGUUUU